AUACUUACCUGGCAGGGGAGAUUCCAUGAUCACGAAGGUGGUUUUUCCAGGGUGAAGCUUAUCCAUUGCGUUCCUGAUGUGCUGACCCUUGCAAUUUCCCCAAAUGUGGGAAACUCGACUGCAUAAUUUAAGGUCAUAGGGGACUGCAUUCACGCUCUCCCCUA